rnacentral:tRNA from 1 species
GUUUCCAUAGUGUAGUGGUUAUCACGUUCAUUGCUUAACACGCUGAAAAGGUCCCCAGUUCGAAACUGGGUGGAAACA